ensembl:lncRNA
UAGAAAUGAAGGUUUGUAUUGGUCCUUAUAAUAUUUUAAAGGAAAAAGUCCCAGUCUGAAGUGCACCUUUCUUUUAGCUGGUGAAAUUAUGCGUGCUGAAUAUGCAACUGUUAUUAGCACAGCCAUACUGUAUUUAUUUGUGUAUACUCCUGUACAGUAUGAAUGGAAAUCCCGGGCAAAUGCUGUAUACAUGUGUGUGUGUGACGACACUGCUUUUGAGAGCUGCAAAUGCACAGGCACCUUUUGGGAGCAUGGCAGUCAACCGUGUGCGUAAAUUGAACGAUAGCGUUAAAUCAUUGCAGGAGGUGAUUUGGAGGAGGAAAUGAGGAGGUAGCAGAGCAGUGAAUAAGCGUCCUUUUAAAACACAUCAGCUUUCAAAUGUAGUUAUUCCUUUGCACAAAUAACCGUGUGGAGGUUUGAGCUGAGUGCUUGCAGCAGCCAAGGUUUUUCAGCUGGGGGAUUUUGUAUUUAUGUGGGUAUUUUUUUGUUGUUGUGACGUGGGUUUCUUCAUGGAAGGGGUUGGACCUUAGGAGCCAUAAGUGCCCUUUGUUAGUGGAGCUGUGAGCCCAGCAGCGGGCUGGGUGUCACCCCAUGGGUCUCUGCCUGCCUGUGCCACAGCAGAGUGCUGUUCUCGGUGCUCUCCAGCAUGGACUGCACCUUCAUGCUUGGUAGUUCUUUUGGGGGAAGCAGGGUUAUAUUUUAUAGGCAUAGAGCUCCUCUGAUCAUGUUAAGACUGUCAAUAUUGCAAUGCAAGCUUACAGUGGUGCAUCUUUUUUAACCUGCAGGAAAUGUAGGUGUAACAGUAAAAUUUUCAUGCAAGCUGAGCUUCCCUUGGCACCACAAGCUCACCUCUGGCUGCUCAUCCACACCCAUGGCCAAAGCAGCAAACAGCCCUUUCCCUGGGCAUGGUGCAGAACUCAGUGUGGGUGUGCCUGGCGGUGGCCAUCUGCAGGUGAGCAUCACCUCCCUCCUCCAGGGCUGUGCUUUUGUUCUGCUCCGCUUGGAGGUGACCAGGAGAGCCGCAGCAGUGCAGGGCGGGUGUCCAGACCUGGUCAGGGGAAGUGACCUCUUGGGAAAGCAGGAAGGGUGAGGGGGCAGUUCAAUUCAGGUUGUUUUUAUUUGGUGUUUCUGUGGGAGGAGAUGGCAUUAGUUGACUCUCAUAUCAUGCUGAAAGUAGUUCUGUUUUCUGUCACUCUCAUCUUUAAAAAUCAAAAAGAAUGUAUUAAUUAUUUUUUAAUCCUCUUUCGGAGAGGAGAGUAGGUGUUCUUUCUGGGUUCAGUCUGCUCCAGGUGGAGCACUGCUCAUCCAUCAGCAGCAGCAGCCGCCCUUCGUGUUGGGCAUUGCACAUCGGUUUGUAUAGCAUUGAACACCGAAUGCAGGAAUCCCGGCCGGAGCCGCACUUACUCCGUGCCAUGCAGUUCAGGUUAGCCAAUUUGAUCUUAGAGGAAUAUUCCCGAUUGUUUACAUGUGUUGUUUCUCAAUGAAGUUAAAACCAGAGCCCAGCUUUUUCUCCUCCUCUUGAAGGCAUCGCUUGUGGAAAAGCAUUUGGUGAGAAGUUAGAAACGGGCCGUGGUGUGCAGAGCCGUCACUCAGAACAUAGAGAAACAUUCUGUGAAUGAAAUAUUGUAUGUUCAGAUUUUAUAGCAUUUCUUUCUUUUUAGCCAGCCCGAUUUACAGCCGUAUAUUUUCUUAUGGAAGAUGUCUACUAACAGGUGCUGUAACACCUCUGUUGGGUUUCACUGUCUGGUGGUAAGCAUAUACAAUAUUUCUAAGGGCAACGAUGUACUGUGAUGUAAAAGGUUGGGCUAAAAUGUAUAUAAUCUGUGUACAUAAUUGUGUACUUGAUUAUAACUGCUGAUUGUAAAGAUUUAAUAAAAUGUAAAUAUUCUGG